rnacentral:rRNA from 1 species
AACCCCGGGAAACUGGGGCUAAUUCCUGAUAGGCGAAGAGCUCUGGAAUGAGCCUUCACCAGAAAAGACGAUUAGGCUAUGCUCCUGGUCGUCGCUCGAGGAUGGGGCCGCGGCCGAUCAGGUUGUUGGUGAGGUAACGGCUCACCAAGCCUUUGACCGGUGCGGGCCGUGGGAGCGGGAGCCCGGAGAUGGGCACUGAGACAAGGGCCCAGGCCCUACGGGGCGCAGCAGUCGCGCAAACUUUGCAAUACACGAAAGUGUGACAGGGCUAUCCCGAGUGCCGUCCGCUGAGGAUGGCUUUUUAACCAGUUCUAGAAAGCUGGUAGAAUAAGGAGAGGGCAAGUCUGGUGUCAGCCCGCCCGCGGUAAAUACCAGCUCUUCCGAGUGGGUGGUGGAUGUUUUAUUUGGGCCUAAAGCCAUUCCGUAGCUUGGCCAAGUUAGUCUCCUGUUUAAACCCAAACGAAUUAAUCGUUGGAUUGCGGGGGGAUACUUGCUCGGCUAGGGGACGAGAGAGGCCGACGGUAUUCUCGGGGUAGGGGUGAAAUCCUAAUAAUCCCGGGAAGACCACCAGUGGCGAAGGCUGUCGGCUAGAACGAGCCCGACGGUGAGGGGAUGAAAGCUGGGGAGCGAACCGGAUUAGAUACCCGGGUAGUCCCAGCUGUAAACGAUGCAGGCUAGGUGUUUGGACGGCCACGUGCCGUUCUAGUGCCGCAGGGAAGCUGUUAAGCCUGCCGCCUGGAGAGUACGAUCGCAAGAUUGAAACUUA